GGGGGCUAAUACCGGAUAUUCCCGCUGUCACGCAUGUGGUGGUGGGGAAAGUUUUUCGGAUCGGGAUGGGCUCGCGGCCUAUCAGCUUGUUGGUGGGGUGAUGGCCUACCAAGGCUUUGACGGGUAGCCGGCCUGAGAGGGCGACCGGCCACACUGGGACUGAGACACGGCCCAGACUCCUACGGGAGGCAGCAGUGGGGAAUAUUGCACAAUGGACGCAAGUCUGAUGCAGCGACGCCGCGUGAGGGAUGACGGCCUUCGGGUUGUAAACCUCUUUCGCCAGGGACGAAGCGUGAGUGACGGUACCUGGAGAAGAAGCGCCGGCCAACUACGUGCCAGCAGCCGCGGUAAGACGUAGGGCGCAAGCGUUGUCCGGAUUUAUUGGGCGUAAAGAGCUCGUAGGCGGCUUGUUGCGUCGUCCGUGAAAACCUGGGGCUCAACUUCAGGUCUGCGGACGAUACGGGCAGGCUGGAGUUCGGUAGGGGAGACUGGAAUUCCUGGUGUAGCGGUGAAAUGCGCAGAUAUCAGGAGGAACACCGGUGGC
rnacentral:rRNA from 1 species